AAACCAACAGGGAUUGCCUCAGUAACGGCGAGUGAAGCGGCAAAAGCUCAACUUUGGAAUCGCUCCGGCGAGUUGUAGUCUGGAGGUUCUCAUUCCGCAAAGAAAAGUGGUGCCAAGUCCUUUGGAACAAGGCGCCUGAGAGGGUGACAGCCCCGUGGACACCAUGCUUUCUUUGCCCUUGAGGUACCGACGAGUCGAGUUGUUUGGGAAUGCAGCUCUAAGUGGGUGGUAAAUUCCAUCUAAAGCUAAAUAUUGGCGAGAGACCGAUAGCGAACAAGUACAGUGAUGGAAAGAUGAAAAGCACUUUGAAAAGAGAGUGAAACAGUACGUGAAAUUGUUGAAAGGGAAGGGCUUGCACCCAGACACGGUUUUUAACCGGGCCAGCAUCUGGUGGGAGGAGGUGACAAAGGGGAGCUGAUGUGGCAACGUCUUCGGGCGUUGUGUUAUACAACUCCCUCCCAACCUCUCCCCCGCCAGAGGACCGCAUUUCUAAGGAUGCUGGCGCAAUGGUUGCAAGCCAC
rnacentral:rRNA from 1 species